UACAGGUGGGAUUGCAUUGUACAUCAUAAAUAGGUCGCGUGAUCAGGUGGUCUAUAUGAUCCUAUGAAUAGGAUCAUAUCUUCUUGAAAAGGGAGAUAGUACUAGUGGAAUCUAGAAGAGUUGAGGAAUAUUCGAAAUAGAGAUGGAAUUCUUAGAAAUCGAAUGGAAGAACAAAGGCGUUAGCAUCACUCUAUAGAUCUCCAGACACUGAUUCACUUGAGUGUAGGUAGCAAAAGGG
rnacentral:rRNA from 1 species